rfam:Dracunculus medinensis genome assembly, scaffold: DME_contig0000085
AUCAAAAACAAAAAUUUUCAGGUUCCAAAGACUUAUUUAGGCAUGCUAGUUGGUUCAUUAUGUGCGCUAAUGGGUGUGCUCACAAUUGCAUUGCCAGUUCCAGUAAUCGUGGCAAAU